GAUGAACGCUGGCGGCGUGCCUAAUACAUGCAAGUCGAGCGAACAGACGAGGAGCUUGCUCCUCUGACGUUAGCGGCGGACGGGUGAGUAACACGUGGAUAACCUACCUAUAAGACUGGGAUAACUUCGGGAAACCGUAGCUAAUACCGGAUAAUAUAUUGAACCGCAUGGUUCAAUAGUGAAAGACGGUUUUGCUGUCACUUAUAGAUGGAUCCGCGCCGCAUUAGCUAGUUGGUAAGGUAACGGCUUACCAAGGCAACGAUGCGUAGCCGACCUGAGAGGGUGAUCGGCCACACUGGAACUGAGACACGGUCCAGACUCCUACGGGAGGCAGCAGUAGGGAAUCUUCCGCAAUGGGCGAAAGCUUGACGGAGCAACGCCGCGUGAGUGAUGAAGGUCUUCGGAUCGUAAAACUCUGUUGUUAGGGAAGAACAAAUGUGUAAGUAACUAUGCACGUCUUGACGGUACCUAAUCAGAAAGCCACGGCUAACUACGUG
rnacentral:rRNA from 1 species